CGGACGGGUGAGUAAUGUCUGGGAAACUGCCUGAUGGAGGGGGAUAACUACUGGAAACGGUAGCUAAUACCGCAUAACGUCGCAGACCAAAGAGGGGGACCUUCGGGCCUCUUGCCAUCGGAUGUGCCCAGAUGGGAUUAGCUAGUAGGUGGGGUAACGGCUCACCUAGGCGACGAUCCCUAGCUGGUCUGAGAGGAUGCCAGCCACACUGGAACUGAGACACGGUCCAG
rnacentral:rRNA from 1 species